UACAGAGGGUGCGAGCGUUGUCCGGAAUCACUGGGCGUAAAGGGCGCGUAGGUGGCGACCCAAGUCGAUGGUGAAAGCUCGCCGCUCAACGGCGAGUCGGCCACCGAUACUGGGUUGCUCGAGCACUGUAGAGGCAGAUGGAAUUCCGGGUGUAGCGGUGGAAUGCGUAGAGAUCCGGAAGAACACCGGUGGCGAAGGCGGUCUGCUGGGCAGUUGCUGACACUGAGGCGCGACAGCGUGGGGAGCAAACAGG
rnacentral:rRNA from 1 species